AGUGUCAAUAAUAUUUUUUUUGUCGAGUCAAAAUACUUGCAAAAUGAAUAAAAAAAUCCUCAUAAGUUAUUCUUAUAGUAUACAUAUUCACAAUUUUUUUAUAUUAGCAUUUGAAGUUCAAAUAUUAACAAAAAUUCGUCAAAAUCAUGAAUAUUUGCAAAUUAUUUUGUAGGUAUAAAUCAUAAAAAUUGUUGUAUAAGUAGUCAGUGGCGUAUUUAAGGUUUUUCUACCUAUAGGCACUUUCCAAUUCGAUGCCUUCCCCCAUCCUUUCUACAAUUAUUUAUAAAUCAUAUUUAAAUAAAUAAUUUAUUAUAUCUAUUAUAUUAUAGUAUGUAUAAUAUAAUAGGUACUUGUGUAUAGAAUAUAGAUCGUACCUGUUUAAUUUUGAGCGAGCAAUAAAUUAGUUACAUUUAAUUUCAUCAAAUGAAAAAUACUUUUAGUUAUUUCUAAGUUCAUAAAAAAAAAUCGUUAAAAUGUGCCGCUCUCCAAUAUCGCCGCUCUAGGCCUGGGCUUAUAGGGCCUGUGCUAAAUACGCCUCUGUAAGUAGUAAAUAGUUGAAAUUGAAUACAAGAUUUUUCAUAAAUUUAUCUUCGUUCAGAAUCGUUAUUUGUAUACAAUGAUACCUAUCAUUGGACUCAAAUUUUACACUCCUAUAUUAUAAAAUAGUGUACCUAAUGUACAGCAAAGCGGUUAACCCACUUACCCGCUUUUUUUUUUAGCUACAUUAAUUUAAAUCUUAAUUUCAUUUUUAUUUCUGAAGUUGUACUGUAUUUAGUUAGUGGUAUUUAAUGGAAGUGGCAGUGAAAUAAAAAUACAAAUAAUUACGAAAUACCUAUAAUACUCACUGUAUUUAAAAAUUAAGCAUGAAUAAUCCAUCCAAUCAAAAUACAUACAUAAACAAGUUACUAUUAUUACCAUAAUUUAACAUAUAAUUAAACUUUUUAUGAUACAAAAUUCAUGCAUGGAAUUAAUUAAUUUUAUUGAUAUAUUUAUAACUUAAAUAUUUAACUUUAAUUUACUAGAAAGAUUAGUUGGUCAAGGUUUUAAUGGUCAAUGGCAACAUGAUGUGAAUAAAUGUCAAACAUUGAUUGCUAGAUAUGCAAAGCAAACAAAUGAUGAAUUCUCACAGCUUUUGGGUGGGGCUGCUGGUAAUAUUUAUGUUAUAACUGAAUAAAAAUUUGUCUUACAACUUAUAAAUAAUAAUUUUUAUUUAAGUGUUCACUAUAGAACACAUUUAUAAUAUAAUAUAAUAAUUAUCAAAAUGCUAAUUUAAAAUAUAAAUAAAAAUAAUAUUAAAUCCAUAGAAAUUAUUGAUUUAUAAUAUUAUAUUACAUUACACAGUAGAAUAUCCCUUAGACUUAAAGGAAAUUUAUAAAUACAGAACACUCUGAAUAACGGAUAUUUUUAUGGUUUGAAUUCGAUCAUCUUUAUUGUAAUUGUCCGAAUAUAUUUUAUUACAACGUAGAUUUUACAAACUACCGAAUGAUAAUACAAGUUAAAGCAGUUAAAACUAUUUGUUUUCUAAACUCUUUAAUUAAAUUAUAUA